rnacentral:misc_RNA from 1 species
GUGAAUCAUCAAAUUUUUGAACGCAAAUUGCACUCUCGGGUAUUCCGGAGAGUAUGCCUGUUUGAGGGUCAGUGUAAAUAAAAAUCUGUGUGGUUGCUGCCUUUCGUGGUGACGCAUCGGAUUUGGGUCGUCUGGCCUUGGGGGAAGUUACCUAAAAUUGUGCUUGAUUUUUUUGUACGUGGUUAAA